AGAAAAAGGGUUUUCGUAGGUGACUGCGGAGGUCAUUAUCGUACAAAAUGUGAGGGGUAUGCAAGGGCUGUCGCUGACUCUAUAAAGUCGUGCACGCCCGAGUGUGUCCUCUCACAUAAUAAUCCAUCUCACCCUUUGUGCAUCACCGCGUGGGCACCCUUUGGGAUCAUCUCGGAGGGGGCUCGCGCUUUCACACAAACCCCCCCUUUUAAAAGUGUAGAAUGACCUCAUUUAUGCGCUAACCCGCAAUCAAUACAACUUUCAACAACGGAUCUCUUGGCUCUCGCAUCGAUGAAGAACGCAGCGAAAUGCGAUACGUAAUGUGAAUUGCAGAAUUCAGUGAAUCAUCGAAUCUUUGAACGCACCUUGCGCCCCUUGGUAUUCCGAGGGGCACACCCGUUUGAGUGUCGUGAAAACCUCAACCUCCUUGGUUUCUUCUGGAGACCGAAGCAGGCUUGGACUUUGGAGGCCUUUGCUGGCACCUCUCUUUUGAAGGCCAGCUCCUCUUAAACAAAUUAGCAGGGUCCUCUUUGCCGAUCCUCGACGUGUGAUAAGAUGUUUCCAUGUCUUGGUUUCUGGCUCUGUCACCUUUUUGGGACCCGCUUCUAACCGUCUUGACCUUGCAUCGAAGACAACGUUCGAGCAUGUCUCCUUUUCUCCGGGAGGCUCCCUCGACCCCACGAACCCUUGACCUCAAAUCGGUGAGACUACCCGCUGAACUUAAGCAUAUCUACUAAGCGGAGGAAAAGAACGCU
rnacentral:rRNA from 1 species